AUCAAAGAAAGGAUGAGCACAUGCUUCAAGUGCAGUGCAACGUAGACUUGGUGAGUACUGCAGUAGCCGAGAAGCAAGGUCAAUUGCUUCAGGAGGCAUCCGUUUGUGGAAAACCUUAUGCCAAGGGUGUGCUUUGAUUUGUGGAAACCUAAAAUCAGUAUAGUUUGGAUUCAUACAGCGAAUUUCCUCCCUUGUCGGUGUUCCAAGUACCUUGAUUAUCUCAACAAGCUGGUCCACAGCAUUUUCUCCAG
rnacentral:misc_RNA from 1 species